rnacentral:lncRNA from 1 species
UGGAAUAACCCCUUAACCCCCAUAUUAUCCCCAAACACCCCAAAAAAUAGGUGGGGUUAGCUAACCCCACCUAACCCCACCUAACCCCACCUCAAAUAAAUUAUCCUGGGUUAGCUAACCCCACUUAACCCCACCAAACUCCAACCAAAUACUAUUUUCUAUUCAUAAUAACCCACUAUCUUUUUUAUCCCACCUACUCCAACCAAUCAUUAUCCUUCUUUAUCAAUCAUUAUCUUCUUAUCUCACCUACUCCAACCAAACACUAUUUUUCAUUAUUCUAGACUAACUCCAACCCCCAACCAAACACAAAAAAAUUUUAACCCCACUUUAACCCUGAACUUAACUCUAUCCCUGGAAUAGCUACUUUUUCCUUAACCCCGAACCAAACGGAGGCUAGGGGUAU